GAGGGUAUGUUAUGCUUAUUGAGUAGAAAGUUUAAUAGAUGGUGGCUAGAUACUUCUUGAAAAAGGGGGUCGAUGCCGAUGUUAAUUUUUGGUUAUAUCCCUAGAAAGGAAUAACAUGAGUGUUUUCGAGACACUAGUAUUACUGAUUAAUUUCAGUUUGCUAAUUAUCGCGAUCCUAAAAUUUAA
rnacentral:sRNA from 1 species